UACAGAGGGUGCGAGCGUUAAUCGGAAUUACUGGGCGUAAAGCGUGCGUAGACGGUUAUUUAAGUCGGGUGUGAAAGCCCUGGGCUCAACCUGGGAAUGGCAUUGGAUACUGGCGACCUAGAGUGCGGUAGAGGGGUGUGGAAUUCCCGGUGUAGCAGUGAAAUGCGUAGAUAUCGGGAGGAACAUCUGUGGCGAAGGCGACACCCUGGACCAGCACUGACACUGAGGCACGAAAGCGUGGGGAGCAAACAGG
rnacentral:rRNA from 1 species